rnacentral:rRNA from 1 species
UACGUAGGGGGCUAGCGUUGUCCGGAGUUAUUGGGCGUAAAGAGCGUGUAGGCGGCCAGGUAGGUCCGCUGUGAAAGUCCGAGGCUCAACCUCGGAAUGUCGGCGGAAACCCUCUGGCUAGAGUCCGGAAGAGGAGAGUGGAAUUCCCGGUGUAGCGGUGAAAUGCGCAGAUAUCGGGAAGAACACCCGUGGCGAAGGCGGCUCUCUGGAACGGUACUGACGCUGAGACGCGAAAGCGUGGGGAGCGAACAGG